ACGGUUAGAAGCAGGUCCUUUCCCGAGCGAAACCCAAGACGUAGAAACAUCUUAUCAACGUCGAGGAUCUAGCAAAGCGGAUCCCACUGAUAGAUUUAAGAGGAGCUGGCUUCACAGAGGAAGCCAGCAGAAAAACCUCCAAAUUCCAAGCCUACUUGGUUCGAUAGAACGAAGCAGGUUGAGGAUGUUCACGACACUCA
rnacentral:misc_RNA from 1 species